AUUGAACGCUGGCGGCAGGCUUAACACAUGCAAGUCGAGCGGGGUGAUGGUGCUUGCACUAUCACUUAGCGGCGGACGGGUGAGUAAUGCUUAGGAAUCUGCCUAUUAGUGGGGGACAACAUCUCGAAAGGGAUGCUAAUACCGCAUACGUCCUACGGGAGAAAGCAGGGGAUCACUUGUGACCUUGCGCUAAUAUAUGAGCCUACGUCGGAUUAGCUAGUUGGUGGGGUAAAGGCCUACCAAGGCGACGAUCUGUAGCGGGUCUGAGAGGAUGAUCCGCCACACUGGGACUGAGACACGGCCCAGACUCCUACGGGAGGCAGCAGUGGGGAAUAUUGGACAAUGGGGGGAACCCUGAUCCAGCCAUGCCGCGUGUGUGAAGAAGGCCUUAUGGUUGUAAAGCACUUUAAGCGAGGAGGAGGCUCUUUUGGUUAAUACCCAAGAUGAGUGGACGUUACUCGCAGAAUAAGCACCGGCUAACUCUGUGCCAGCAGCCGCAGUAA
rnacentral:rRNA from 1 species